AGAUCUCGUAGAUAUUCGUGGAAAAGGAAAAAUUAUGGAAUAGUCUCUGAACUUUUGCAACUACUACAAUUUAGUCCAGGUAAGUUCGUACGGUUUUAAAUUUAACAUCUAUAUGAAUUGUCGAAUAGCAUAACAUGAUACAAUAUAUAUAUUCAAUUGUUGAUAAUGAAUGAUUAUUUAAGAUAUGUUAUUGAAUUUGAUGUUCGGAUUGGAUUGAACGUAAGAUAGUGUACAAUUGUGAUAUGGUGUGUUGUGGGGGAUUGGAGUGGAUAUGGUUUUGGAGGGAUGUAUAUAUAUUUUUCGAGUAAACUGAGGUUCAAUAUUUGUUGCAAACUCUCGUGUUAUACUGUCUGUUUGAUGUAUUUCGGUUGGAGUAGCUCUUAUGAGCAAUUGUCGUGUUUCAGUUGGACUAACUCUUGUGAGCAUUUGGUGUGUUUUGGAGGGAUUGACUCAUAUGAGCAUCUAGCGUGUUAUGGUUGGACUCACGAUGUGCUCCUAUCCGUCAGUCAUUCUUCAAAUUGAAAACCUUGUUAAGAUGCUCGAAAGGUUGGACGAUCGGGUCGGUACUCAAGUCACACUAUCCAUAAAUUUCAAUAGUUUUUGGAACGUUUUUUUCGAUUUAUAUGGCAUGUAUUAGGUGUGUAUGUCAUUAUAAAUGUUUUGGAUGUGUGUAAUGUUAAGUAUGAUGUCGAAACCAUUUUUUUUGAAAAAACAAAAAUUUUAGGUUGUCGACUUUAAAAAAAUGAAAAUUGGGAGUCGCCACCAAUCUUUUAUUAGGGUGUGAUUGGAUCACCUAAAAA